UGGGGAAUUUUGCACAAUGGGGGAAACCCUGAUGCAGCGACGCCGCGUGAUUUAGAAGGCCUUCGGGUUGUAAAAAUCGUUUGUAUAGGAAGAAAAUGACAGUAAUAUACGAAUAAGGACCGGCUAAUUACGUGCCAGCAGCCGCGGUAAUACGUAAGGUCCGAGCGUUGUCCGGAAUCAUUGGGCGUAAAGGGUACGUAGGCGGGUAAGCAAGUUAGAAGUGAAAUCCUAUAGCUCAACUAUAGUAAGCUUUUAAAACUGCUCAUCUUGAGGUAUGGAAGGGAAAGUGGAAUUCCUAGUGUAACGGUGAAAUGCGCAGAUAUUAUGAGGAAUACCGGUGGCGAAGGCGACUUUCUGGCCAUAACCUGACGCUGAGGUACGAAAGCGUGGGUAGCAAACAGG
rnacentral:rRNA from 1 species